rnacentral:rRNA from 1 species
ACAAUGGGGGAAACCCUGAUGCAGCGACGCCGCGUGGAGGAAGAAGGUCUUCGGAUUGUAAACUCCUGUUGUUGAGGAAGAUAAUGACGGUACUCAACAAGGAAGUGACGGCUAACUACGUGCCAGCAGCCGCGGUAAAACGUAGGUCACAAGCGUUGUCCGGAAUUACUGGGUGUAAAGGGAGCGCAGGCGGGAAGACAAGUUGGAAGUGAAAUCUAUGGGCUCAACCCAUAAACUGCUUUCAAAACUGUUUUUCUUGAGUAGUGCAGAGGUAGGCGGAAUUCCCGGUGUAGCGGUGGAAUGCGUAGAUAUCGGGAGGAACACCAGUGGCGAAGGCGACCUACUGGGCACCAACUGACGCUGAGGCUCGAAAGCAUGGGUAGCAAACAGGAUUAGAUACCCUGGUAGUCCAUGCCGUAAACGAUGAUUACUAGGUGUUGGAGGAUUGACCCCUUCAGUGCCGCAGUUAACACAAUAAGUAAUCCACCUGGGGAGUACGACCGCAAGGUUGAAACUCAAAGGAAUUGACGGGGGCCCGCACAAGCAGUGGAGUAUGUGGUUUAAUUCGACGCAACGCGAAGAACCUUACCAAGUCUUGACAUCCUGCGACGCACAUAGAAAUAUGUGUUUCCUUCGGGACGCAGAGACAGGUGGUGCAUGGUUGUCGUCAGCUCGUGUCGUGAGAUGUUGGGUUAAGUCCCGCAACGAGCGCAACCCUUACUGUCAGUUACUACGCAAGAGGACUCUGGCAGGACUGCCGUUGACAAAACGGAGGAAGGUGGGGAUGACGUCAAAUCAUCAUGCCCUUUAUGACCUGGGCUACACACGUACUACAAUGGCGUU